rnacentral:tRNA from 1 species
GUCUUCGUAGUGUAGUGGUCAGCACGCUUGACGCGUAACCGAGAGGUCCGUGGUUCGAUUCCCAGCGAAGGCG